GGGUGCAUAGCUCAGCGGGAGAGCGUUCCCUUCACACGGGAGAGGUCCAAGGUUCGAUCCCUUGUGCGCCCACCA
rnacentral:tRNA from 19 species